rnacentral:rRNA from 1 species
GUUAGCUCCGGGUCACGAGGCGCGGGAAUAGGUUGUGGGCAAGCGUUGUCCGGAUGUACUGUGUUUAAAGGGUGCGUAGGCGGGGAGGUAAGUCCGUGGUGAAAUCUCAGAGCUUAACGCUGAAACUGCCGUGGGUACUGCGGAGCUUGAAUGUUGGGGAGGUGAGCGGAAUAUGUCAUGGAGCGGUGAAAUGCUUAGAUAUGACAUAGAACACCAAUUGCGAAGGCAGCUCACUACACAAAUAUGGACGCUGAGGCACGAAAGCGUGGGGAUCAAACAGGAUUAGAUACCCUGGUAGUC